rnacentral:rRNA from 1 species
UACGUAGGCAGCAAGCGUUGUUCGGAGUUACUGGGCGUAAAGGGUGCGUAGGCGGUUGUUUAAGUUUGGUGUGAAAUCUCCCGGCUCAACUGGGAGGGUGCGCCGAAUACUGAAUGACUAGAGUGCGGGAGAGGAGAGUGGAAUUCCUGGUGUAGCGGUGAAAUGCGUAGAUAUCAGGAGGAACACCGGUGGUGUAGACGGCUCUCUGGACCGUAACUGACGCUGAGGCGCGAAAGCGUGGGGAGCGAACAGG